UUAGGAGGUAAAAUAGUUGAAUCGCAGAUAUUGAUUUGCGAUUCAAAUUAGGAGCUUUUAGUGGGUUUAUAUAAAGUUUGACCGUCAACUCCGGGUAGCAAGCUGCGAACUCGCCUGCCGAGACCGACACCGUGCGCGGGGAUGGGGGAUUAGCCUAAACCCUAAACCUUGAAGUCGCCCGGUGUCGCUGGCAUCCAUCGAGGCAAUUUCGACCGAGCAAUCUUCACCAUUACCGGAAUGUGCAAGAGAAAUGUUUCCGGAAAAUAGGCAUUCGCUCCCAUUGAGUCCCCUGAGUAUUGGAUUGCUUUAUCUGCGAAUCCUUCUAUUUGCGAGGUUUGUGAGGUAAAUAAUCCAAUCUGGGGCUGCUAUGAAGUCACAUGAAUCGAUACGUCUCAACUACAGAGAAUAUGAACACUGGAAGUAUGAGAAGUUUGUUAGUUUUGUUGACAACCUGUUGCUCCUCCGUGAUCGAGUAGACUUGCAUAUUUUCCAGCUGCAUUUUGAUAGCCACCAUGUGGUAAACUGCAAUGAUGUGAGGACGUGGAUUGGUUAUGCGGUGAAGAAUAAUGUUAAAGUGCUAGAUGUGAACAUGGAUCGGUAUGAUAAGACUGUUUUACCUCGUUGCAUUUUCACCUGCCGCUCGCUCAAGGAGUUAAAUCUGAAGAUGGGAAAGGCUCCUUAUAAAGAUUAUGAACAUGAGGGACUUGUGCUACCUGACAUCAUCAGGCUUCCAUCCCUCAAAAAUUUGACUCUCUGUGAUGUGGAGUAUACAUCAUCUCUUGAGCAAAUAAUUGCUCGGAGCCCUGGCCUAGAGGAUUUGCAUUUGAUAAACUGUGCACAGCAUCUUGAGCUUGUAGAAUCAAAAGUGCUAAAGAGGCUAACUGUUGAUGGUUUCCUAGGUCGAGACAAAGGACUCACAAUUGCUGCCCCUAGUCUCAUUCACUUCAAGUGCACAGGCUUGCCGCUGGAAGAGAUUUCUUGGUGAGAGCGGCCAUCGCUAGAGAGUGCACACAUAUUCGCUUCUCUUUCUAGGAGCACUUUUGAUGGUCAAUCUGAUUUACUGGGAUCUUUUUGCAUGCCAAGAGACUUGCAUUAUUUGGUUCCGAUAUAAAGGUUAUGUUGGAAAAGGAACUGCCCACAUGCUCUGUAUUUGAGAGUCCCGUAACUCUCGCAAUUGGUGAAUGGUGCUUAACUUAUGACUUGUACGUUGUACUUCGCUUCCUCCAGCUUUCACCGAGACUAGAAAAACUUACCUUAAAGCAUAGAAAGCUUAACAGAGAAACAGAAGGUGCAGAAACAGAACCAAUAUCACUGGAAUAACCUUCCAAUGCCCACUCCUUGAAACAGUAAUAGUACAAUGUUCCAAGGAUGAUGGCGAAAUUCAGAAGACGGUGGAUGCUUUGGUAGCGACUGGCAUCAGCUUGGAGAAGAUACAUGUCACUUUCUAUGAAGACAUCCGAAAGAACCUAGCUGAGAGGAAGCGUGGGAGACAGGAAGGGAAGACGGGACGAAGCAUCUUAGAGAAGAAAUUGAAGAGAAGACAAGAUUGGGUUGAUGAUAGUCAUGCGAUAAGUGACAAUGAUAACAACGGCGACGAGAUGGAGGAAGCCUGUGGCUAUGAAUACGAUCCUGAUGAUUUCUAGAGCUCAGCAGGGUGUGUUGCUGUUUCUAAAGCUCAGCAUGACCCCCUUCGCCCUGGAUUUUCCAGAGCUAAGUUCUGAAACUUAGGGUUGCUGACUUAAUUUUAGUGUAGCCUAUUCGUGAACCUAAUGUGGCUGACGUAAAAGUAGUCGGUUAUGUGCUGUUGCUGGACCACAUGACAUGGUUAUUCGCACUGUUCUGUUUUCAGCAUAGUUGCAUAGACAGCGUCUUGAUUAGGCACCUGCUGCUCGGCAGAUGUACUCCUAUCUUGAACCGUUAGUCUAUGAGUCUGUAAUUGCCUGGUUGUGUGCUCUGUGAUAUCUUCAGCCUUCAUUCGUCA